rnacentral:rRNA from 1 species
UACGGGGGGAGCAAGCGUUGUUCGGAUUUACUGGGCGUAAAGGGCGCGUAGGCGGCGCAACAAGUCACUUGUGAAAUCUCCGGGCUUAACCCGGAGCGGUCAAGUGAUACUGUCGUGCUAGAGUGCGGAAGGGGCUACUGGAAUUCGUCGGUGUAGCGGUGAAAUGCGUGAGAUAUCGGAGGAGGAACACCUGCGGCGAAGGCGGGUAGCUGGGCCGACACUGACGGCUGAUGCG